CCUACGGGAGGCAGCAGUGGGGGAUAUUGCACAAUGGGGGGAACCCUGAUGCAGCGACGCCGCGUGGGUGAAGAAGCGCCUCGGCGCGUAAAGCCCUGUCAGCAGGGAAGAAAAUGACGGUAACUGAAGAAGAAGCCCCCGCUAACUACGUGCCAGCAGCCGCGGGAAUACGUAGGGGGGAAGCGUUAUCCGGAUUUACUGGGGGUAAAGGGGGCGCAGACGGGGAUGCAAGCCAGGAGUGAAAGCCCGGGGCCCAACCCCGGGACUGAUCUUGGAACUGCGUGGCUGGAGUGAAGGAGGGGCAGGCGGAAUUCCGGGUGUAGCGGUGAAAUGCGUAGAUAUCAGGAGGAACACCGGUGGCGAAGGCGGCCUGCUGGACUGCAACUGACGUUGAGGCCCGAAAGCGUGGGGAGCAAACAGGAUUAGAUACCCCAGUAGUC
rnacentral:rRNA from 1 species